GGGGACGCUACGGAUUCGACAGGGGUAGUUCGAGCUUAAGUUGCGAGUCGAGGGGAUCGGCCUCGUUAAAACGUCAAAGCCAAUAACUGGCAAAACUAACAACAACCUCGCUUUCGCUGCCUAAUAACAGCUGAUUGCGGUUCCUCCCUCCAUCGCCCAUGUGGUAGGGUAAGGGACUCACUCUAAGUGGGCUACGCCGGAUUCCACCGCCUGAGGAUGAAGGAAGAGAACAACCAGGCUAGCUGGCCGGACGCCCGUCGAUAGGCAGAAGUGUCAGCGAAACGCGAAUAUAUCGACUACACUCGUAGAAGCUUAAGUGCCGAUGUCUCUGGACGUGGGUUCGACUCCCACCGUCUCCACCA
rnacentral:tmRNA from 1 species